ACAAUGCCUCGUGUCGAAGGAAGGCCUUCGGGUGGUAAACUGCUUUCGUCCGGAACGAAAAGGUCCUGUCUAAUACAGGGGGCUCAUGACGGUACCGUAAGAAUAAGCACCGGCUAACUACGUGCCAGCAGCCGCGGUAAUACGUAGGGUGCAAGCGUUAAUCGGAAUUACUGGGCGUAAAGCGUGCGCAGGCGGUUUUGUAAGACAGAUGUGAAAUCCCCGGGCUCAACCUGGGAACUGCAUUUGUGACUGCAUAGCUAGAGUGCGGCAGAGGGGGAUGGAAUUCCGCGUGUAGCAGUGAAAUGCGUAAAUAUGCGGAGGAACACCGAUGGCGAAGGCAAUCCCCUGGGCCUGUACUGACGCUCAUGCACGAAAGCGUGGGGAGCAAACAGGAUUAGAUACCCUGGUAGUCCACGCCCUAAACGAUGUCAACUGGUUGUUGGGUCUCUACUGACUCAGUAACGAAGCUAACGCGUGAAGUUGACCGCCUGGGGAGUACGGCGCAAGGUUGAAACUCAAA
rnacentral:rRNA from 1 species